CGGGACGGGUGAGUAAUGUCUGGGAAACUGCCUGAUGGAGGGGGAUAACUACUGGAAACGGUAGCUAAUACCGCAUAACGUCGCAAGACCAAAGAGGGGGACCUUCGGGCCUCUUGCCAUCAGAUGUGCCCAGAUGGGAUUAGCUAGUAGGUGGGGUAACGGCUCACCUAGGCGACAAUCCCUAGCUGGUCUGAGAGGAUGACCAGCCACACUGGAACUGAGACACGGUCCAGACUCCUACGGGAGGCAGCAUG
rnacentral:rRNA from 1 species